CCUGGCCUUGACAUACUAAGAACUUUCCAGAGAUGGAUUGGUGCCUUCGGGAACUUAGAUACAGGUGCUGCAUGGCUGUCGUCAGCUCGUGUCGUGAGAUGUUGGGUUAAGUCCCGCAACGAGCGCAACCCUUUCCUAUUUGCCAGCGGGUUAAGCCGGGAACUUUAAGGAUACUGCCAGUGACAAACUGGAGGAAGGCGGGGACGACGUCAAGUCAUCAUGGCCCUUACGGCCAGGGCUACACACGUGCUACAAUGGUCGGUACAAAGGGUUGCUACCUCGCGAGAGGAUGCUAAUCUCAAAAAGCCGAUCGUAGUCCGGAUCGCAGUCUGCAACUCGACUGCGUGAAGUCGGAAUCGCUAGUAAUCGCGGAUCAGAAUGCCGCGGUGAAUACGUUCCCGGGCCUUGUACACACCGCCCGUCACACCAUGGGAGUUUGUUGCACCAGAAGUAGGUAGUCUAACCGCAAGGAGGACGCUUACCACGGUGUGGCCGAUGACUGGGGUGAAGUCGUAACAAGGUAGGCGUAGAUGA
rnacentral:rRNA from 1 species